rnacentral:lncRNA from 12 species
UACGUGAGCUUGGCCCCAGGAAGCCAGAUCCUUCAUGUGCAAAUAAAUGUGCAAUGAGCCUGGUAUCAGGCAAGCCUGCCAGGGGUGCCCUUCGAGAUGCUUAGUAGAACCCUAAGUCACACCCCCAGACAGGCUGUUUUGAGGAGUGUUCUCUCCUCCAGGAUUAGGACAAGCAAAGCUGGGAGAACCUGUCUGACAAGGUGAGUGGCCUCUGUCCUCCCCACCCCCUUUACACAGGUAGGAAUGGCUUUCAUUUAAUUAAAGCCCUCCAGUGGUUCUGUGAUGGGUAGCGGAGAUGCAGUAAGAAACCCCCUUCACUAUUAACCACGAGAUGAGAGUGACUCUUGGUGCUCUGGGGAGAGACGCUGGUGUCCUCCAGGGAAAGCCCAUCCUACCUGCUUCUCUGUCCCCAGAGCACCUGCUCAAGAGCAGCCUCCCCUUCACUGCCCCAAAGGAAGGGAAGGUGGCACUGAGGGGCAGAGGCUGGGGUGGAUGGAGGGGGCCGGGGUGGACACCCGGGCAUGCACAGAUGUGCAAAUACCCAGACUCAAGCGUAAGCUGAAUCUUAUAAGCAAAUGGAUGCUUAGAAAGGUAAAGGGUCUUUCUUGUUCAAGGUCACAAGGCUGGCAAGAGGAUUUGGAUCCAGAUGAAGCUGUGCUUGGGUUUAGGAGACAAACACUUUCUACUGCACGAGUCCCGUGGGUCGGGGUUGAGAGGAGGAGGAGAGUUUGUGGAGUUGCUUAACCAGGACCGAGAGUUCUUUUGUGGGUAAGUGGACAAGAAGGAUUAAACACAGGGAUUCACUCUGAUGAAACAGGCACAUGAGCAGCGUGAGCUCACAAGUAAUGGAGCGUUCAAGUGAGAAAUGCAGCCCCGCAGCAUGACGUGGCAUCUCUGUGCCUACGGUGGAGUUUGUGGGUCUCUGUGGGAUGACACCUUCUAAAGGGACACGCAGGGGGCUUUUGAACGUAAGUGCAAAUCCAUUUAGCCUCUCCUGAUAGCACGCCUCAUUUUACCAAUCACCUUC